AUUUAAUUAAUUUUCAGAGUAUAAGAUCAAAACUUAUAUACUUGAAAAAUAUAUCAUCAUGUUGGAUCAUUAAUUCUUAAUGACUUCAAAGUUCUUUUAUGAUAAUNNNNNNNNNNNNNNNNAAAUACCAAAAUAUGGAUUCAUGCAAUUUUUGAUACAUCUUAGAGCUCUUUUAAAGACUUUCUUUUAUUCCUUUAGAAAAUAAGCACAAUUUGAUACAUAAAAAUAUGAAUUGGCACACAAUUGAAGUUCUAAAGAACAAGCUAAUAAGAACUCAUUAGUGAAUUCCAAAAAUAGGUUUUCUAAGAGAUACUCAAGAAAAUUCAACACAUUAUUCUCCCCCUUUUUCAUUAAAUUAGAGGCUCUUAAGAUCAACUAUUUGAAUUGCAAUUUGGUUCAUGAUUGAUGCAUAAGAU
rnacentral:lncRNA from 1 species